GGAGUUGUAGCUCAGUGGUAGAGUGCUUGUCUAGAAUGCAUGAAGCACUGGGUUUGAUCCUCAGCACCA
rnacentral:tRNA from 1 species